CACCAGACUCCUACGGGAGGCAGCAGUGGGGAAUAUUGCACAAUGGGGGAAACCCUGAUGCAGCGACGCCGCGUGAGCGAUGAAGUAUUUCGGUAUGUAAAGCUCUCUCAGCAGGGAAGAAAAUGACGGUACCUGACUAAGAAGCCCCGGCUAACUACGUGCCAGCAGCCGCGGUAAUACGUAGGGGGCAAGCGUUAUCCGGAUUUACUGGGUGUAAAGGGAGCGUAGACGGCAAUGCAAGCCAGAUGUGAAAGCCCGGGGCUCAACCCCGGGACUGCAUUUGGAACUGUGUAGCUGGAGUGUCGGAGAGGCAGGCGGAAUUCCUAGUGUAGCGGUGAAAUGCGUAGAUAUUAGGAGGAACACCAGUGGCGAAGGCGGCCUGCUGGACGAUGACUGACGUUGAGGCUCGAAAGCGUGGGGAGCAAACAGGAUUAGAUACCCCAGUA
rnacentral:rRNA from 1 species